GAUGGCCCGCAAACAGUUUGACCGGAGAACGCGUUUAUCUAUCUGACCCGCGGGGGGGCUGGCACGAUCCCGUCCUCUCCCCCCUGUCGAGGGGCGCCCGCGCCUCGGCAAACACGAACCCCGGCGCCCCGCGCGCCAAGGAAUCCAAAAUUUGUAAGAGUGCGGCCCCGGUCAGGGGAGUUGGAGACAACGUCCCGCGGGUGCGCGUCACCAAAGCAGUCAUGUGAAUGACUCUCGGCAAUGGAUAUCUCGGCUCUUGCAUCGAUGAAGAACGUAGCGAAAUGCGAUACUUGGUGUGAAUUGCAGAAUCCCGUGAACCAUCGAGUCUUUGAACGCAAGUUGCGCCCGAAGCCAUUAGGCCGAGGGCAUGCCUGCCUGGGUGUCACACAUCGUCACCCUCACUCGCGCAAACGGUCGACUGCCGGCCGGUGCGCGGUGUGUGUGUACGCUGACCUCCCGCGAGCGCCGUCUCGCGGUUGGUUGAAAAUCGAGUCCACGGUCGAGUGCGGCGCGAUAGAAUGGUGGACGGGCGGUGCCCGAGGCCAAUCGCGCGCGUUCGCCGGCGGUGUGACCCUCGGACCCCUGCGGCGUCUUCGGAUGC
rnacentral:rRNA from 1 species